AAGUGUUACAGGUUUGAUUCCAAGUCAGGGUACAUGCCUGGGUUGUGGGCCAGGUCCCCACUGGGGGACAUGAGAGAAGCAACCAGUCAACUGAUUGAUGUUUCUCUCUCUUUCUUUCUCCUUACUUUCCUCUCUCUCUAAAAAUAAAUAAAUAAAAUCUU